GCGGAAAUGGUGUAAUGGAUGCACGUAUGUCUACCAGGCAUUAGGUUACAGUUCGAAUCUGUGUUUCCGCU
rnacentral:tRNA from 1 species